rnacentral:miRNA from 1 species
UCGAGAGUUUUCUCGCGUGCU